AUUAUUAGAUACCCCUGUAGUCCUAGCCGUAAACGAUACUCGCUAGGUGUCGGCCACGGUGCGACCGUUGUCGGUGCCGUAGGGAAGCCGUGAAGCGAGCCACCUGGGAAGUACGGCCGCAAGGCUGAAACUUAAAGGAAUUGGCGGGGGAGCACCACAACGGGUGGAGCUUGCGGUUUAAUUGGAUUCAACGCCGGAAAUCUUACCGGGACCGACAGCAAUAUGAAGGCCAGGCUGAAGACUUUGCCGGAUUAGCUGAGAGGUGGUGCAUGGCAAU
rnacentral:rRNA from 1 species